UUACCACCUUUACGAUUAUCACUCUGGUUGGCUACCUUCAUUUCUCACCUGGGUUACUGCCAAGACUUCCAGCUUCUACCUUUAUCCUUAUAGUAGGUUUCUAACAUAGUAGUCAUGGUGGUGAUGCUUUCAAAACCUAAGGUAGAUCAUAUCAGUCAAGGGUAUCCAUAUGGCUGAUCAGCAUGUAAAUACUAAAAAAUUAGCA